GGUUAUGUCAGUCAACUGCACUUCGCCAGGUGGCCAAAUGGCCCAUGAGAGCAGUCCAGAAACGUGAAUCGUCCUGUCAACUUCAGCCCCUGGAAUCUACAUUUCAAAACUUUUGAGGAAAAACCGAGCAUCAUACAACCCUUGCUUUGAUGAAGAUUACAACAUUCAACGCCUCGGAACUCAGGAGACGGAGACAGGUCGCCCGUAAAUGUUAACAGAUGAGGCCAGGGUGUAUACAUUACAGAACAGGAUACCCCAAUACCCGACCUGGUCAACAACAGAAAGAAGACUGAAGCACGACGAAUUCAUUUAAUCAGGAGCCCAGUUGUGUGUUCCGUGUUUGCUUGGAGAUGCCGGAUCGCACGAGGAAGCUUAUCUGAGGAUGUUUUAAAUGGGGUGGGGGAUGGGGAGGUACAUAUCUUGAGUAGUUAGUAUUUUAAUUUGACACAACUAACUGUACAUGAUCUCCAUGGAGGCGCCCGGAUUUGAUUAGAGGAUGUUUGACCUCUGUUGACGGUCAAGGUCACAUGACAUUCAAUUAUUGAACAAAAAAGUCUGAGCCAAUAUUUUGGUUAAGUCGUUGAAAAAUCAAAGCAUUUUGUAUUGAAUAUAAACAAUAUAAACUAUCAAUAAUUAAAUCAGCACGUAUAUGGUAUGUAUAAGGCAUAUGUCUAGGUCAAUUUAAAUACCAUUGACUAGUUCAUAUUCAAAAGUAGAGAGCAGACAGUAUAUUCUGGAGACGUUGGCAUCAUACGUUUGCAACUACAAGUAGAAAUGGCCUUAGUCUUAGGAAUGUUAUGGCUACGCUGUGAAUAGUAUUUGGCUAUAUCAAGUCAAUGUCACCAGAGAUCUUAUUUAUAAGAAUCAUUUUAAUUCACUAGAAAUUUCAAUGAACGCUUGUUUCAUUAUCUGCUAUGUUGUUUGUUUGCUUGUUGUUUAACGCCGCAAUAUUCCAGCUUUAUGACGGUGGUCUUUAAAUAAUCGAGUCUGGACCAGACAAUCUACGGAUUGACAUCAUGAGCAUCAAUCCACGCAAUUGGGAUACGAUAACAUGCAUCAACCAAGUCAGCGAGUCUGUCCACCCGAUCCCGUUAGGCGCCUCUUACGACAAGCAUAGUCACCAUUAUCUACCAUGUGUCAAGGUCAUUCACACAUGGAAAGACUUGUUGUUGAACAGUGUGGUUCUGACUGUAUUAACAGUGGACUUGCUAUAGAGACUUGUAACAGCACAUUGCCGUCGCAAAUAUUCUGGGGCCAGCUCAAGGUGAGGCUGAAAGUGUCCAGGGUAUAUUUAAUCUGUAUUCAUUACCGUAGUUGAAUGCAUUGAUCUACCUGUUUGUGCGUUCCAGUGCAUUCAGUGGGCACUUGUUCUAUUUCAAACGGGAAGUGACGUAGUUAAACUGGAAGUACAUAUAACGUUUUUGUCUGAGAAGCUGGAGACAGUUUCGUAGCUGUACUGCAAAAGACAAGUUUUGAGAUCAAAGACUGUCAAGGUCAGUUCUCACCUUUUUUUAUAGAGUACAAAGGGUUGAAGGAUACAUGUUUCUAGUGGGCAAUUGAUGGAGCGUCCGUGGGUGGGGAGGGUGCUGUUUCUGUUCCGUUUCUGCAAACUCUUGGAUGAUGCUUGUUUUAGUUUUAUUCGCAUCUGACCGUUUACCAUAUAAAACUUUGCCAAUUAUGUUUGUUAUAUUCCCAGCGUGUAUCUCUUUGCAUUACCGGAGCGGUUGGGUAGCCUAGUGGUUAAGGUGUUCGCUCGUCACGCUGAAGACCCGGGUUCGACUCCGACAUGGGCACAAAAACAUUCUCAGAAACAGAUAAACUUUAAUUGCUAAAGAGACUUGGUCAAGUCUUUCUCACAUGUCUGUGUUUGUGUCACCGGGAUGUAUUUAAUGUUUAUGUGCUUUGUCCUGUGGGGGAUACCAAUUUCAAUCGAAAUAAAGCUGAUAAACAAGUCAGAUUUACAACAUAAAUGUUCCGGAAGAGGUAAAACAAACAAUGUUCUGCAGUGUACCCGUGACUUAGUGAUAUUGACUUCUAUUAUCACAAUAUUCAAUCAUAUACAAGUCACGACAAUUCGAACUUCCCUUUCAUCUGGCCUUUUUAAAAUGUGGGCGUUGAUUCCUAAGUGAAACACAACAACGAGUUAAGUCGCUUUUCUUCCUUAAACCUAUCAACCCGUCCAGUUCACUCCAACUUGUAUAUUUAAGUCAGGGAGUGUAUGUUGUUUAACACUGCUGUCAGCAAUAUUACAGUCAUGUUAUGAAGGCCUGAGCUUUGACAAGGAAACCUGUGGGUGACAUC
rnacentral:lncRNA from 1 species